CGAACGGGUGAGUAAUAUAUCGGAACGUGCCCAGUCGUGGGGGAUAACGUAGUGAAAAUUACGCUAAUACCGCAUACGAUCUAAGGAUGAAAGCGGGGGAUCGCAAGACCUCGCGCGACUGGAGCGGCCGAUAUCAGAUUAGGUAGUUGGUAGGGUAAAGGCCUACCAAGCCAACGAUCUGUAGCUGGUCUGAGAGGACGACCAGCCACACUGGAACUGAGACACGGUCCAGACUCC
rnacentral:rRNA from 1 species